rnacentral:hammerhead_ribozyme from 1 species
GCACUGCUGAAGAGUCCCACAAUAGGACGAAUUGGACAACCAGUGC